rnacentral:misc_RNA from 1 species
GGGCAAUGUAAACUCAGACAAACCUU